GCACGGAGGCGGUUACAAAUCACGUGACAGCGGCUUUUAGAGGAACCUGUGUCAGUAGCUGUCGUCUGAAGUGACAGCUCAGGGAACCGGGCAGCCCAGAAACCCAGGCGUGGAGACUGAUCCUGCGAGAGGAAGGGGUUCAUCAUGGCGGAUGACCUAAAACGAUUCCUGUACAAAAAAUUACCAAGUGUUGAGGGGCUCCAUGCUAUUGUUGUGUCAGAUAGAGAUGGAGUGCCUGUCAUUAAAGUGGCCAAUGAUAAUGCUCCAGAGCAUGCUUUGAGACCUGGUUUCUUGUCUACUUUUGCCCUUGCAACAGACCAAGGGAGCAAGCUUGGACUUUCAAAAAAUAAGAGUAUCAUCUGUUACUAUAACACCUACCAGGUGGUUCAAUUCAAUCGUUUACCUUUGGUGGUGAGUUUCAUAGCCAGCAGCAAUGCUAAUACAGCCACACGAAUAAGUGACUGUUUCACAUCUGGUUUGGAGACCGUUUUACCUAACAUAAACUGUGAGUUGGAAAAUAAACCUCAUCCAUGAGCCUAAUUUAAUCUCUGAAAUUGGUAUCACAGUUCUAGCAUGUGCUUUUCAUUUUCAGGAAUGCAGUCCAUUCAAGGUUGUUAAUUUCCUCCUAGGAUCUUUGACAAUCAGAGUUUGUCACUGGUACCUGGCAUUGAGCACCUACUGUGUGCCAUUCACUAGCGCUACCACAUUGCAGAAUUCUAAGGAGCACAGUGUACAUCAUAUUUCUCUGCUCCAGGAGUGCAUUUUACAUGACGUGUACGAAUGCAGUCUCUCAAGUUGUACAAAAAAUCCUUAGCUUUCAUCUGAAACCUGCUGUGGAUCACAACAUCAGGAACAUUCCACCCUGCUCCUGGGUCAGGGCAUCCCUCAUCGAGGAAGGUCUGUCUAUUUAAAGAUGAAUGACCGAGAUCGGAUUGUGCCUUCCCCUUGAUCAAGCUGUUUUCUUAUUUGAGACUGCAAGAAAGCACACCCAUGUGUAUUUAUUAUUGAGCAACUUUAAGAUAACAAACUUUGGCUUUUAACAAACAUUAAAUAAGAAAUGCUGACUAGUAAGAAAACUGUGCAACUACAAAUUAAUUAUCAUGUCCCCUCCUCCCCAAGUUUUAUUCUGGUUUUCUGUAUUUUUCUCAGGAGACUAUACUGUAAAGUGGUUGCUAAAACAUGCACAAAUUGGGAACUGGCCUAAUACUUUUAGUAAUCCAUAAAAUGCAAUACUAUUCAACGAAUCAAAAUGAAGAUAUAGAUCUAACUUUAUUGAUUUGGAAAGAUGUUCAUGAUAUAUUGUUAAGUGGAGUUAGCAAGUAAAGAACACUGCAGAAUGAUGAAAUUUUGUUUCUAAUAUUUAUUUGCAGAGGGAGAAGUCUGAAAGGAUGUGCAUUUGAUAUAUUUUUACUUUAAAUUUUCUAUAAUGAUUGUGUCACUUGCAUAGUUACAAAAUAGAAGAAAUAAAAAAUGAUUUGUAUUUGAGCAAAAGCUUCA